CUUGGUGAGCCUGGGUUUUCCCAGUCCAUCCCCUAUCCCCUAACAUAUUCACUGUGCAGUUAGAGAGCCUGGAGCUGCACAUGUUGAACCAGAAGGUGCUGGGGUGCCAUUCUCCCCACCUGCCUGCCCCCCCUCCCCAUGCACAUCAUUCACACUUUCCUCACCACAGGGGACAGGCUGAUAUUUUAUAUCACCACGUUGCCAUGACCCUCUAUGACAAGGAGAAAAUUUUAGUCACUUGUCUCGUUGGGUUGCAAACCUUUAUGAAUACCGCAACUAAUAGCCCGGGCUUGUGUGAUGUGGAGAAUUGCUUCAGCACAGAGAGACUGCAAACCUGUUCAAUUAAAGGAAAUGCUCAGAUCCAGCUGUUGGAGCCCCAUGAAUGCCAGUACUCCUCACAUAGAGCUGAGUACUGAGGACUGGGCAUGGGGAAGGAAGACAUUGGAAUGGGACAAACCACAGGAAGAAAUGAUGAGCCAUUGACCCAGGAUUCAGCUGAGUGGCAAAAGCCAUCUCCUCAAAGGCAGCAGCUGAGCCCGCAGGCCCUCUGCAAGAAAUUUUGCUGUAGAAAUCCUCUCUGCACGUGCCUAGGAGCCAAAAUCAGCCUUUUCUGGUGGUUGGUGAAACAGUGUAAGACCUUUGAAGGAAAUUGUUACCAUGUCCUUUGUCUUGCUGUGAGGUGAGUUAAAAUGCAAAACCAGAGAAAAACUGUGGUCCAGUUUGAUGAAGUGGCAUAAAUCAAGAUUUGGAAAUAUAAAGUGAGUGGGCUGAAAACAA